AAUAUCAGCUGAAGCUCUCACAUAUGGCGUGGACAGAAGAUAUUUAUCCACACUUUGAGCCAUAUGAUCCACAUGCUUUUCAGAUAUUUCCUGUUCCUCAGCAACCCACCACUAUCCUGCAGCAGCUCCCAGCGACCAUGAUGCCUUCUGGCUUUGCUCCUUCCAUUAGGCCUAGUGGUCACGUCAAGGAGGGCUCCCAGAGACCACGUUAUGAUUCAAGAGAAUGAGGCUGACCCAGAGAUAUACCACCACUAUUACCAGCCUGUACGUACCUGUCUUACCCUGCAUGGCUCCUGCAUCAGGCCACACUGGUCUACCAAGACCCCAACAAGCUCACCUCUUCUCCA